AAAACAUUGCAAAUGGCACACUUCCGGUUUUUGAAACUAAUUACGGAUCCGGACUUGGAAAAACCAUGAUAAUUUUCUGGAUUUCAUUUACGAUGUCAAAAAAAAAAAAAAAAAAAAAAAAAAAAAAAAAAAGAAUUCCGACCUACCAACCCUAUUUUUCAAAAUGAUGUUACCGGAAACACAUAUCUUUUUUUUUUAGGCCUUAUGAAAUUUC
rnacentral:lncRNA from 1 species